rnacentral:lncRNA from 1 species
AGGGAGAGAGAAGAAGAGAGAGAUGGACGGCUUCGAGGAAGGCUCACCGGACUUCGUCGGCGAGGGAGAAAACGGCGGCGCGGGCGGUCGGACUCUGGCGAGAAAUCAGGGCGGCCUAGCAGCGUGAUAGCGAGGGGGAGCAGAGGGGAAGAGGAGAGGGGGUCGCGGGGCUUAAAAGGACGCGCUCGGGCGUGCAAAAGGAAGGGCGGAGGAGGAGAUUGCGACGGUGAGCACGCGGCGGCGGAAAAGGCAGGCGGCGCGGCGGACACGGGGCUUUCCUUCCGGGGAAGAAUACCCCGAUAGGUGGGGCCCACCUGUCGGUGGCUCACGCGGCGCGCGCGAGGGAGUUGGGCCGGUUCGGCCCAAUUCGGCCGGGCCGGUCCGUUUGCUCCUUUUUUUUUCUUUUACCCUUUUCUUUUUCUGUUUUUCUUAUUCCUUUGAUAUCUUUUGAUUUUGAACUCCAAAUUGGUCCAAAUAAAUCCCAGAAAAUUUGUAAAAUCAUGUUCUACCAUGAUACAACUUUUGGAAGUAGUUUCUCUUCAAAAUAAAAUAUAUAAAAAUACAUUUGCCCUAUAAAUGCCUUUAGGGCCAUAUAUCUAUUUAAAUAAAAUACUUUUUCAACUCCAAAUAAUUAUCCAAAAAUUAUGGGAUAGCUUAUAUAUGCACGAAACCCAUUUUAUACAUAAAACCUAUUGGUUUGAAAAUCCAAAAUUCAAAUGGGUGUAAACCCUAGGGUUCAAAAUGAAACAAAGUCUUUUAAAGCCCUUUUGAGAUUCAAAAUUUGAAUUCAAAUACGCAAUUGUGGCAUGAUGCUCAUGGGUGCAAUGCAUAUGUAAAAGUUUGAAAUUUUGGGAUGUUACAGACCUAACCCCCUUAAGAUGAAUCUCGUCCUCGAGAUUCGGUGUGGUUAGCAAAAAGGUGUGGGUGGUCUUCUUUAAGAUCAUCUUCGCGUUCCCAAGUGGCUUCCUCUUCAGUGUGAUGGUCCCACUGAACCUUGCAAAACUUGAUAGUCUUGGAUCAGGUCUGUCUCUCAGCUGUAUCUAAGAUCCUGACCGGUUUCUCCUCAUAGGUGAGGUCACUCUACAAUUGGACUUCCUCAAGUGGAAUUGUAUCCCUCAGGGGUGUGUCGGCCA